CGGGUGUAGUUCAAUGGUAGAACGUCAGCUUCCCAAGCUGAAUGUCGCCAGUUCGAGUCUGGUCAUCC
rnacentral:tRNA from 1 species